GCUGUGUGGAGCAGCCAGACCCUCCUUCAGAGCGCUUUGGGGGAGGGAUAACCCUUGACCCAAAGACUACUCUGCGACCUCUGAACAUGUUAGAGGCUGGGCGACGGUUGCAGGUGGACUGGUGUUUACAUGGUCCGUGGGAGCUGGAAGUCCGCAGCUGUGUGGCGGCUGCAGUGCUUUGAUUAGUCUCCUAGCUGCAGAUCUGCAGCCUCAAUAGAUGUCAUCUGGGGAAGAAGAAGAAGAAGAAGAAGAAGAAGAAGAAGAAGAAGAGGAGCCUUGUAGAGACCAGCUGAAGGAACAUCUUCUCUGAGCUGAAGCUCUGAGGACAGUAGGCUACGCUAUGCGGGAUCUAGUGAACCGGCACGAGGUCACCAGCCGCAACAUGGAGAACGCCAAAGCUCUGGCCGACAGCGGAGGCAUCGAGAAGCUGGUGGACAUCAGUAAAGGACGGGGGAAAGGGUACGAAACGGCAAAGAAACGUCACGGGGAAAUCUGUCCGCAGGGUUCAUCAAGUCGUUCAUCAAGUCUCUGCAAAACACGUCAGCUUUUACUUUUUUAGUAGUCUGGCAUUGCUGUGUCAACUAGCCAGACCUUCCUCCACAGCACUGCGAACCUUUAACUUUAAUUACGUUUCAUUUUUUUUUUAUUUUGCUUCACGAUAUGAGGGAAAUAUGCAAAAUGUUGAAUAUCUUGAUAACGAUUACU